GAAGUCAGCUGAUUGGUAUCUGAAAGAACUUUUAGGUCGCAUGCAAGAGAAUGAAUUCUUAAGUAAAUGGACGUCAUUAGAGGAUGCCGACUAUAAUCGUCAUAAUACAUGGCUUUGCAAGAAGUGCAUCUGUCAAAUCCUUGAAAAAGAUUUGAUAACUCCUAAGGCCAUCAUCACGGUUUGAAAACUUACAAACAAUCAUAUUUUCUUUUCGGUAUGAAAUAGAAAUGAAAAUUUAAUUUAACAGUCUGACAUAAGCGACAGCUUCAGUAAAGUAAUAAAAGACGAAAAUCGACCAAAAUGGCCAGAAGCCGA
rnacentral:lncRNA from 1 species